GUUUUAUUGAGAGUUUGAUCUUGGCUCAGGACGAACGCUGGCGGCGUGCCUAAUACAUGCAAGUCGAGCGCGGGAAGCUAACUGAAUCCUUCGGGAGGACGUUAGUGGAACGAGCGGCGGACGGGUGAGUAACACGUGGGCAACCUGCCUGUAAGACUGGGAUAACUCCGGGAAACCGGGGCUAAUACCGGAUAAUACUU
rnacentral:rRNA from 1 species